rnacentral:rRNA from 1 species
UACAGAGGUGCCAAGCGUUAGGCGGAAUCACUGGGCUUAAAGCGCGUGUAGGUGGGUCGUUAAGUGUCCGCGUGAAAUCCCACGGCUCAACCCGUGGAACUGCCGGGCAUACUGGCGAUCUUGAGGCAUUCAGGGGCGAGCGGGAACAAAUGGUGGAGCGGUGAAAGUGCGUAGAUAUCAAUUUGGAACGCCAAUAGGUGAAACGCUCGCUGGGAAUGUGCCGACGUGAGAACGGAAAGCCCAAGGGGAGGCAAAACGGGGAUUAGAAAACCCCGUGUAGU